GGGAUUGUGGCUUAGUGGUAGAGUACUUACCUUGCAUGUUUGAGGCACUGGGUUUGAUUCUCAGCACCA
rnacentral:tRNA from 1 species